AUGACGCCCCAUAUUCCAGAUCUGAAGCAUUCAACUCACAACUUGACCCUUGCCUCCACGACUUUCGUAACCGAUUCAGUAAUUACCCAUGUAUCAUAAAGUCGAUCAUCUAUAAUAACCUGUUUACUCCAUCAUUUUUCAUCUUCACAUCCUUUCAUCACACUCCACCCUCCCCCUCGUUCUCUCUCCAUUCGCCACCGGAGCCGGACCGGAGAGGAACUCGACGCGGCAUCAUUUUGUUCACCAGGCACGUCGUAUUGAUUCGAGAUUCACCGGGUUCUUGAAGUAAACCGACUCGCCGGAGAACCCAAAGUCGCCGGAACCCAUUGGAACACGUCGGAGCCGCCGGAGAUCGGAGAACAAACCGGAGAAUCCUGUCGCCGCGUUUGGUUGAUAGCCACGUUGUUGAAGAAACAAGUUUAGGGUGGACUAGAAACUCACCUACAAAAUAAACCAUGUUUGAAUAACUGUUUCUUGUUUGAUUGAUUUGAACGAUGUAUGAAAUUUUAUGUUAUGAUGCUUUGA
rnacentral:lncRNA from 1 species